UACGAAGGGGGCUAGCGUUGCUCGGAAUUACUGGGCGUAAAGGGUGUGUAGGCGGAUACUUAAGUCGGGGGUGAAAGCCCAGGGCUCAACCCUGGAAUAGCCUUCGAUACUGGGUAUCUUGAGUUCGGGAGAGGUAAGUGGAACUCCGAGUGUAGAGGUGAAAUUCGUAGAUAUUCGGAAGAACACCAGUGGCGAAGGCGACUUACUGGCCCGAUACUGACGCUGAAACACGAAAGCGUGGGGAGCAAACAGG
rnacentral:rRNA from 1 species